rnacentral:lncRNA from 1 species
AACAUUCAUCACACCAUUCAAAAAACCAUUGAUUCAAUUCGUUUUCCAAUUUACAUUCAAAUACAUUCAUCUUCAUUCAAUUUCACGUUCAAUUCUACCACUAAUUGACAUUCAAUAUUCAAGGCCAUACAUUCCAAUUCCAAUUACAUGAACCAUUCAAUUUCCAAUUCCCAUUUAAACCAAUUUAAUACAAUCAUUUCAUUCCAAUGCAAUUUCUAAAUUCAUUCAAGGUUUCCCAAAUACCACACAUAUACCAUUCCAUUUCAAUUUCAAAACAAAAAUCAUACAUUACAUCAUUUCCACUUUUUUACAUAAACCCUACUCUAAACCAUCACAUUCAACACAAAUCCUACAAAAGAAUAUCCAAAAAAAACAGUCAUGAAUCCAAUAAAUCCUAAGCACUCCAAGUGAGUAAUGCACUUCAUCCAUCAAGCAUGCCAAGUCCAAACCUGCAAAAAGGGUCAAAUACACCUUAAUUGCAAUUCAGUUCAUUAUCAGUUUGCAGACAUUCAUCAUUAAAGCGAAAUGGAACUUCAAAAAGGGCAUAAACCGAAAAGCUGGAAUGUAUAAUGGUUUUAGUGAAACGAAAACAAAUUUUUUAAUCACAAUAAACCUUCCUAACAAGAAUAAGAGUCAUCCUCUUAAGCUGGACAAGUCUCACAGAGGUGGUGAAGACCGUAUCAUAGAUAAAAAAAAAAGGUGAGUUGGUUGUCAAUGCUUCGGACUCAGCCAGGCGGCAUUCAGACAAGGACACCGUGACACCUAGUCGUCACGUUAUGGCUACAAAAUCAGACCAUCCGAAUCAAAUAAGUAACCAUUUGAUAUGUGGUGAGACAAAAAACUUACCAAGAUCCUAGUACUGUUUCCUAACAGAAUUAAAACACCUUAUAUCACAUCCCAACAACCUGCAAACUGAAUUAAAACCAAUAGCCCUCUAACUGUUUCCUAACAGACUCUCAUUCACGACCUGAUAACAGAACAAGACUUCAACCACUUCAAUAACCUUUAACUGAACCCUUCAAAGUACAAACCACCUCUAACUCCAUAACCUCUCCUAACCACCCUGCUUCAACCCUAAACUAACUCUGCAACAACCAGACACCAAAAAAAAAGCUCCCACAGAAAACUCAGCAGCAUUUUCUAACUGCUUCCUCCAACUGACAUAGUGGAACUGAGUUCACCACCCUCAUCAACUGAAAAACCUCACAAUACCUACAAAUUUUCCAAAAAAACUUCACUGCAAAAAAUGACCCUGCAGAAUAAACAUAAAGAGAACUCCCUCUUCGAACAUCUUCAAUUUCCUCGCUCACCCUCAACCUUCCAAGAACCAGCUCUCUCACGACAACACAAGCGGAGAAGAACGGAAAUAGAAGAAGUGAAGAAGAACGAAAGAACAAGAAUCGAAUACGUCAUCUGGAGUCGUCAAUAAAUCCGGUAGGUUCCUCCUUCUUCACUCUUUUCGAAUAUGCGUGCAAUCGAAUUCGUUUUGGUACCGUUGAUGUUCUUGACUUUUGAAUCCGAUCGGAGCGAGCCUCGGAUUCUCGUUGACGACGUGUUGAUGGCAAUGGCGUGUGGAUGAUGUCUGAAUCCGUUUCGUUAUGCUUCGUCAGUGAAUUCCCCCGGAUGUUGAUUGGAAGAAUUUGUUUCCUUUGACUGAAAGAUGAAGAUGCGUCUUGGAUCUUCAUGGGAUCCGGAAUUGUGAUGGAAGACUUGAGCCUUUGGCCCAAGCAAACAAGCCCUCCUUCAUGAACCCCUUCAUCCACACACACCCUGGCCCAUUAUUAGUCCUUAAUCCUCCUUAAUCCAUAAUUAAUCAUGGUGAUUUUAUUUAAUUUUUGUUAAUUAGUAUUGCCACUGAUAUCUUUUGUUAGGAUAAAUUUAGAUUCUUCUUGUUUUUUAAUUAGGAUUAAGAUAGUUUUAGUGAUUAAGUAGAUUAGUUCUAGUAAUUAGGUUAAUUCAUGAUUAAUUGUGAUUUUAGUUAGAUUUAGAAAUUAGCUUAAUCUUCAUGUAGAUUGUGAUCCUAUUUUUUAGAAUUUAAUUCAUUGUAUUUUAACCUUGCCAUGAUUAGGAUAAUUGGCCACUAGGUUUUGAUAAUUCAUUUUUGUUGACUUUAUUCAUGUUUUGAUUAAUAUGCAUAGGUAUAGAUUUUAUCAUGAUUUGGUUUUAGGUUGAUUUUGCAUUUUGAUCCGAAUAUUGCAUUCUUGAUUAAAAUAUUCAUGUAGAUUAGAUUUCAAUCUUGAUUUGGAUUGUUAAUUUCCCUUUCUUUAGUUUGAACCUAAUCCAUUUUUGUUGACUUUAUUCAUGUUUUGAUUAAUAUGGUUAAUUGUAGAUUUUUACCAUGAUUAGAUUUUAGGUCAAUUUCCAUUCGAUCCGUAUAUCACAUUAUGAUUGUCAUGAUAAUGUUCAUUAAAUGAAGUUGUGAUUUGAAUUGCCAAUUUUCCAUUUGAUUAGUGUGUUCCCUAAUUCAUGUUUAGGUAGACUUUAGUCCUUAGAAUUAAUGUUCAUUUUGAUUGUCCAUUUAAUCGAUUUAUUUGGUUUGUGAUCAUACUGAAUAAAUUGAAAAUGCCAUUUCAAUUUAGGUGAUAAAUGUCUUGUAUGCCUACAUUUGCCAUGAUCACAUGAUAGAUCUUUGAUUACUUGUCAUUGAUUAAUCCAUUACCAUUUGAAUUGAUUUAGAUCUUUGAAUAUAUGUUUACACUUGUUUUAAUAUUCUCAUUUGACUUGGUCUCAGACUAACCACAUUUGUUGUUUGUUUCUACAUGUGGCUUUGAGUCUCAAGCACACUUAUAACUAGUCAUGCCUCUAGCUCAUUCACUUGACUUGUAUUGUGUAGAGUACCAUGCCACUUGUAUGUUUUAGGCAUGGUACAUGUAAUCUUGUCUAAUUUUUUUUCCAUUUUCAUUUAUGUUGUAAUAGUUUCAUCCCCCAAUUGUGUGUCAAAUGUCCCCCCACCGCAUGAACAUGUAAUAGUCUAGGUUUAUUUCUUUUAUUAAUUAAUCAUUCAUGCUAACUAAAAAGAUAAAAAUAAACUAUAAGAUAAAGCAUUUCAAAAGAAAAAAAAGUUAUUUGAUCUAACAUCAAGUUGUUUUCCAAAUAAAACUCACACCAUAGCAACACGAGUACUUGAUUCAACGUCAAGUAUCUCCCAUCCAUUUCAUGAUCCAUGAUCCAUAUCUCUUAUCCAUUCUCUUCUCAAUCUCAUUCUAUCUCUCCCUCAUUCAUUCUUCACACACGUUUUCAUAAUAAAUCUAAAACACUUUAUCCGACGUCAAGUGCCUUUUUCAAAAUAUUUUCAUAACAAACUGGAAUGCAAAAAUAUGGUGUACAUGCUAAUACACAACAUUCAAGUUCUUGGGUUGUCGGCCGUACCUAACUUGAGGACCCGACACUUGACUUCCCCCUUAAAAUAUCUAAUGAUUCAAACAAGUUAGAUUUAGGUACUAUGAAGGAGAAAAAUGGUAGUUAGGAUACCAUUGUCCUCUCGACUCCCAAGUAUUCUGAUUAAAGUUAGGAUAAACUUCAAGCAAGUGGAAAGCACUAAGAAGACAUAAAAAAACAUAAAGUGAGAGGCAAUAAUAUAAAUGGCAUGAAUAUAAAAUGAAAUAAAUGUAAGGAGCAUAAAUGUAAAUGUUAGGAGGUUAGAUGUAACAAGUUAGUCAUUGUAACAAGCCAAUUUUAGUAUUUAAUUAGUAUAUUAUUACUAUAUUUUAUUUUAUUUAUUUGGAGUGUUAAUUAAUUAAUUGGUUGUUAGGUAGUAAUAAUUGAUUAUAUUAAUUAAUUUGGUGUGUUAAUUAAUUAUUUAGUUGAUAGGAGAUAUCAUGAAUAAUUGAAUUAAUUAACUUGGUGGAUAUAUGGUGUUAGUUUAAUUUAUUUGAAUUAAAUAGUGAUAUUUAAAUAUUAGGUCUUAUUGGGCCUAUUAAUUAAAUGAGAGGUAUCAUGAUUUAAGCCCAAAUAGAAUACUAGUAUAUAAAAGGGAGGAGAGUGAGAAUUAGGAUUCACUUGAUCAUUUGACAACAAUAGAGAAAGAGAAGAGGAAAAGUGAGGAGAAGAGGGGAAGAACAAGAGAGGAGCUAGGGUUUCCAGAAAAUUGAAGAGGUAAGGGGGGAAUCCUUAUUAUUAUGGGUUAGUAUGAUUGGGUCAAUGGGUAGAUGUAUGUUUAGGUUAAAAUCCCUAAUUUUGUAUGGUUGUUUGGAAUUGUUAGGUUUUGAUGAGUAUGCUUGAUUGUGGUCAUUGAUUGUGUUAAAAUUGCAAAUUAACGUUAUAUAUUUAGAGUAUUGUGUGAAUUAUAAUUUUCUAAACGUGUGGCUUUUUACGGAAUCGAAAUCGGACGUCCGGAAGUCCUCCAACGAUGAAAACCGUAGAAAAUUCUGCAUGUUGUCCGUCACAAUCGCGGCCCUUUUUUUAUGUUUUAUUAUCGAAAUCGUUUUGGUCAUAACGUUUGAUCCGUAAGUCCAAAUUGAGUGCCGUUUGAAGCGUUGGAUAGCUGAAACAGAAGGCUAUAACUUUGUUUCAGGAAUAAAACAAUUUUGAAGAUUAUUUCAUGGAUGUUUUUGGGGUUGAAGAAGAUGAAAAUUAUGUUGGAAAAUUUAGAAAACAACAACUUUUUAGUAACGCCUUCGUGCACGGUUUUAUUCAUAACUUUCAACUCGUCAAUCAUUUUGGGUUGGGGUUUAAAAGCAUUAGAAAGGUGACUCUAAUAGAUAUUAUGUGAAUGGUGUAUUUGUUAUGAAUGUAUAUAUGUAUCAUUGGUGGAUUGGGAAUGAUAUAUUGUUAUGAAUGUGUAUAUGUACCAUUGAUGGAUUUGUGAAUGAUAUAUUGUUAUGAAUGUGUAUAUGUACCAUUGGUGGAUUUGUGAAUGAUAUAUUUGUAUAUUCAUUCAUGGCAUGCAUGGUCGGCUUCAUGGUGGAAGCGGUGAAACUGUGGGUUCACAUGGUAAAUAGACGUUGAUCCUUAAUUGGAAAUAGGCGUAGCAGACGUUGAUCCUUAAUUGGAAACAGGCGUGGUAAAUAGACGUUGAUCCUUAAUUGGAAAUAGGCGUAGCGGCAGACGUGAUCUUAUUGGAAAGCAGGCGUGGNNNNNNNNNNNNNNNNNNNNNNNNNNNNNNNNNNNNNNNNNNNNNNNNNNNNNNNNNNNNNNNNNNNNNNNNNNNNNNNNNNNNNNNNNNNNNNNNNNNNUGAAAUCAAGGGGAUAGGCAACUUGGUGUCCUGGAGCUCCGUAAACUGAUAAUUUCUACUGCGUCAAGGGCUGACUUCAAAUGGCUAAUAAGCUCGUCAGCGGAGGACAGGUCUGAAUAUCAUCUUCACUAAAACUGAAAUGUUGAUUAGUGAACAAAGACAGUUGAAGUAAUUAUGAAAGAUCGACCAACAACACUGCUAUGUGGAGCUUCUAAAAUGGAUACCCCUCUAGAUGAGUACAGUUGCAGAAGGAAUCAUCAGAAAGGAAAAGGUCAGAUAAGGGUGCUAUACCUAACCCAAGGCAAGAAAACGUCACUGAUGGACAAACACCUGACACAUGGACUGGUGGUAAUGAAGUCUGAGUAGUAAGAGCUUUGCUGGAAUCUGAGACACAGGAACUAUGUCAGUUGAAACAAACAAUGCUCAACCAGGGUGGAUGAAGUUGCUGAGAUUAUCUACAAUGUCACACUCAUGCUAUGACAUUGUAUUAUGACAACUGACUGCAAGGACUUGUUAUGAGGAAAGGGAAAAUUAGGGGCUUGGCUUCUUGAGAAACAUAUGGCAAUUAAUGUGAGUGGAAAAGGCAAGAAAUAUCGUUUGUCCAAUAAAAAGAAAAAGCACAUUAAUAAUGAAUCAUCUCCUAGAUUGGAAAAGUCAUCUAUUUCAUAUGCACUUUCUGCCUAAACACAAUUCUUUCCAUCCAUCUAACUUCUCAAGAACCUCUGCUAGGGCAAAGAAAGACUGUCUCAACAUCUGUCAGCAUCUAUGCUCCAAAUCCUCAUACUAGAACUUCUCCAUGAAUUUUAGAAGAGAAGUUGAUAGACGCAACCCCUCUGCGUAUGAUAUCCAGGUGACUUUCAUGCUCCCCGUCCAUGGCUAAAGCUAAGCAAGACACACUCCUGAAGAAUCGCCUGAUAAAGAGGACAUGCACUCUGACUGAUCGCAUCAUAAGAAACCUAGUUACCAGGAUACUGAAUGAAAAGCAUGGAGUUAAGGACAUUUUACCCCUCUGUCCAGAAGGAACCCCUCACCUGAGGUGGAAACCCGAGCUAAGAAAGAUGGUGACUAUCAAAAUAGAAAAGGAAGUAGCUCUGAGGACUAUGUUCUCUGGAAGAAACUUACCUAGUAUGUCCCUGACACUGUCAAGACAUUGAGGAAGAAGGGUCUGAGGAGAAGAUGACAUGUUGGUCAAUCUGGUGAAAACAGUGGUAGCUAAUGACUGAGAAAGGGAAGAGUUAUGACUGAGAUAGAGGACUGGUAGGAAGGAGAAAAAGGUUGCGGGAUAGGUCCUCCAAGACUUGGAGUAAAGUAGAGGUCAGGAAGAUGAGGAGAGUGAGGGUUCUGAUCUGAUGAGGAUGUCCGAAUAUGAUGUCUCAGACAUUUCCCCUGUUAAAGAAGCCUGUAAAGAAGUCUCCAAACAAAGUGGCUGCUGUCAUCUUGACAAUAUCUCGUUUCACGUGAGUGGUGCGCCAAUGGAAGUUUGUGACUCAAAGAUGGUAGCAGUUGAAAGAGAAUGGGAAAGAGCAACUAAGUAAGGAAGUCAUGGAGUUAAUUAAGACAGCUGGUCUUAUGAAACCGUGACUGCUCUGCCUCAGUGAUGAGGGGUUGGUCAAAGAAUCAUGUGACAUUCUUGGAGGUGCUUCUGAAAGUAGCAGCAGGGAGGGCUGCAAAGUUUUGUUAGGUGUAAGUGUGUGAAACUUUCACCUACUAUUAUCAAACAAGUUCCUAGGAGAGGAACUAAUGAAGGAGUAGAUCUAGAGACCACGGACAAUGAGGUCUGUAGAAUUAUUACAGCUGGCCAAGUUAGGAUGGCCUAGUAGGAAACCUAUCAGCUAGUAGCCACAUGUGAAAUAUGCCAUUCUGCAUAAGAUUGGUUCAGCAAAUUGGUACCUACUAAUACAUAUCUACCAUUUCCAUUGCUCUUGGAGAUCAUUCAAUGCCAUUGGAACUAAGAUCAACUACAAUUUUGGAAAGUUGUGUUUGAUCAAACAUCAAACAUGCUGCCACCAAUGUUGUAAGUUGCCCAUUGCAUUCCCAUCUAUCAUCUGUGGCAUCAUCCUGAGUCAACAACCAGGAUCUGAGUACAAGUGAUAUUCCAAGCCGGAGGAAAGACCGCCUCAUCAAUCACUAUAAGCUUUUUUAGGGUAGUCAUGUCAAGAUGAUCAUGUCAUAACAUCUUCUAGAAGGACCUGCGCUCAAGGGAGCCUAAUUAGCAAUUGAAGAUACCUGCAAGGAAUUAGAGGAAGGUAUGAGGGUGUCAGGCAGAGAAGAAGCUUUUGGAAGCUCUUAUCUGCUAGCCGCUCGAGAAAGGAGUCAGAGAGUGAGAAAGCUAGGAAGAUCAAAUACAGAUCCCAGUCCAGUUCUGAAAACUCAGAAGACUCUGAGGGUGAGCUGAAGAUGAAGAUGAAGUGAAGUGAUGUCUUCUUCUCUGAUUAAUUGCUCCUGGCAGUAUUGGAGCUGCAUGGGGUGCUGGAAGGUGUGUGGCAGUUGCUGCUAUUUGAAGGUUGUUGUUUUUUUGUAUAUCUGUGGCAGUCCUCAUGAUGCCAUGUUUAUGUAAUGUUUAGGGCUCUUAAUGAGUUCCUUGAAUUUGUUCUGUUCAUGCUUUCUGCUGUGUAUAAUGAUGUUGUGUACUUCCUGAAUUUUUGUUUUAACAAUGCUUAAUGUAUAUAACAUCUGUUUAACUUCUCUGCUAGACUAAUAGACAUUUUAUUUUAUCUGAUUGGUCACCUUUGGUCAAUUUUGACUAAAAAGGGGAGAAGUGCUUGAUAUGGAGUUGGAUGUGGCUGAUCAGAAGGACAGCCUAUUAUUGAUAUGGUGCACAGGUGCUGAUGUUGUAGCAGAUGUCAGUAUGACAUUCUGGCUGAUGUUUAGUCAGAUGUCAGUAUGACAUUCUGGCUGGUACAGGUGCUGGAGUUUUAAGUAGCUGUCUUUUAUGAAUGCACAGAUUUAGGGGAGAAGAAGUACCCUGGUGCAUUGUGGCAUUGUGUGUGUCUUACUAGUAUGCAUCCAUAACUAGUAAUUCUGUUGAUUGUUGCACAGUUUUAGGGGAGGAGAAGUACCCUUGUGCAUGUGUGUAUUACUAGUAUCCAUAGCUUAAUUGUUUUUGCUUCUUGCUGCUGAUUUGAACUACUGUUAUGUGGUUUAACUACUGAUAGUUUACCUUGUGAACAAAAAAGACAGAUAUAUGUUUUAGCCAAAAUUUGCCAAUUUUUGAUUCUAAGAGUUGGCAGCAAUUUUGGUAAAACAAGAUGUUCACAAGAUGUCAUGUGUGAUGUCUUAACAUGAGAUAUCCUAUGUACCUGCUGGGCUUGAAGAACAUAUGAAAGCAGGAUUGUUUCAGAAUUGCCACUUACAUUGACAGGGCUUCUGAUGUGGUUGUACCUUGCUGAGCUUAUAUGGAAGACAUAUGCGCAGGAUUUUUCAGUUGACAUACUCAUUGUCAUGGUAACGAUAUGGGUACCUGCUAUAAAGGAAACUAGAUUAUGCAGGAUUUUCCAGAUGUCAGACCCGAUGUCAUGACAUCCUGUACACAGAACAUUCAGUAUGAAUGUUUGUGUUUUGUGAUUGGCACAAUUGUGGCAAUCAUUGGUUGAUUGAAGAUAGGCUAGCUGGCGCAUUCUAUCAGGGAUAUCAACCAGAUUGUUUAUUUUCCAAGGAGAUCUUUACAGCUGAUAUGAAAAGAUUUGUUGGAAAAUAUAUCUAGGGUUUUCAAGGUGUCCAAUACUUUAUAUAAAAGGGACUUAGAAACCUGAUUGUACACACAACCAAGACUGAGCGAAAUUUAGAAAGAGAGCUAGGGUUUGUGUCUGUAGGUCAUUCAAGUCAUCCAUUGAUGAUUGAAUUGGACUGAUUUGUCUUCUUGAUCAAAGCUUUGAAGCAAGAUCAGAGUGUGUCUUCUUGAUUGAAACUGUGAGUAAAAUCAAGAAUAUUGUAUUGAAAAGUAUUUCUUUUCACAAGGGAUUGUUGUUAAGAUCACAGGUUUGUGAUUGUAGGGAAGUGAGUGGGUUGUCAUAUCUAAGAGUGCUUAGGUAGAAAUUGCACGGGUAAGAGAUUGGUGAGAAAGAUUGUAACUUGGUGAAGUGUACGGAUAGUCUUUGAACUAAUUCUAUUGUAGUGGAUUUCCUUCCUGGCUUGGUAGCCCCCAGACGUAGGUGAGUUGCACCGAACUGGGUUAACAAUUGCUUGUGUUAUUUGCUUUACCAUUCUGUUUCUGUUUAUCCAUUGUUUAUAACCAGAUAUCAGUGUCGUGACAUUACCUUCGACAUCUUAUAUCUGAUACCAGAAUUUCAGAGCAAUAUCCAGACAUCAUGAAGAUUAAGGCAUCAAAUAAAGAUGUCCAUAUCCAAGCAAGCACUUCAAUAGAUAACAAUCUUCAUUGUCUUCCCAUGUAUCGGAUGAAAUAUUCUUUGAUCAACUUAGAACAAAACAUCAAACACUAGAUCAAAAUAACAAUUAAGCACAGAGAAAGAGUAACAGAUGAGCCCAAGAAAUUCUCAAGUCUUAUAUCAGAUGAAGGCAUAGUUCAAAGUAGCUAAGUCUCAAGAUGUAGGUAUUGGUGAGUCCUUUUAGCACAGGGAAUGUUGCCUAAACCUAAGUCCAAAAGUUCAGAUCAAGUUCAACAGUCCACCAAAUGUUUUUUAGGGUUUUUGUUGUUAUUAGGUACUUUAAGGUCCUAAGACCACAAACAAAAUCAAAACACACAAACAAUAUAUACAAUCACAAGAUAUGGCUCAAAUGAGCAAAGUGAAAAGGACAUAAACAUAAACAAGUUAUAUGAAAUAUAAAUGGCAAUGAAUGAUAAAUGUCUAAAAUUUAAAUUGCAUAAUAGUAAAUGACUUGAAAGUAAAGCAAUAUUAACAAAAGUUAGUUAAAUGUUAGUCAAAAGUUAGUGAUGAUCUUUAAUUGAUUAAGUCAUUCUUUGGAGAACACCUAACCAUUCAUUCAUAAGUAUGAAUCCUUAAACCAAGACAUCUUCCAUGAGAAGGGCUCCAACUUGGAUAAUUCAACAAGUAUGUCACUAGCUCCCAUGAAAGGAAAAAAGGUCAAGUCUCCAUAAAAUGCCAUGAAGAAUGGGAGACUUACAAUCUCACUUACUAGAAUGAUAUGCCUUGAGGGUCAAAUUUAGUUAUAUGUUAAGCAAUCGUAAUUGAACUUAUGUAGAAGUCACAAUUAUCUGAGGUCGGGCAAUAAAAAUAUAGAUGUUAAUGGAUGUUAGAGAUUUGGUACAAAGAACCAAACUCCUAAAACAUACCACACACUAAAAGAAAAGUCAAAAUGGAGGGACCUAUCUCAGUCAUACUUGUAUUGAUUCAUCUGACACGAGGUCAUUGAUGAAUCAAUUAGCCUUUAGACAUUAGAGAUUUCAUUGGUCAAGUGAGGGAAUGGGAAAGAAUAGGGAUGAAGAUGAAGAGGGAGGGGAAUAUAUAAACACAAAUUGAUCAUAGAAGGAAUUUCAUCAAAUCAAAACCAUUCAUUCAUUUUGGAAGAUGAAAUGUACAUUUCAUCAAUCCCCUAAAUCCAAUGGUUUUGAUCCAACAAAAGUCAAAUCAACCUUGACCAAGGCCCAAACAGAAAAUCAAACAUCACAAGACCAUAAAAAUGGCUCAACAAUAUUUUUAAACAUUUAAUCAAAUAAAAAUCAAUUUAAAAAUGAAUUAAAAUGCAUUUUAAUUUGGUCAAAAUCUAAAAUCCCUUCAAAACACCAAAUAAAUGGCCAAUGGAUUUAUCCUAUGUCAAACAAGGUCAAAGGACCUUAGACAAAAAAUUUCACAAUUUUUAAAAAGUCAGAAGUAUUUUUAAAUAAUUAAAAAUAUGCACAAAAACAUUUCAUUCAUGAAAAAUACCAAAAUUAAUCCAAAAAAUAAUUUAAAUUCAGAAUAUGGGAGAGAAAAAUAUUUAAAGAUUUUUGGUGAAAGUCCCAUAUUUUUUGGAUUAAAAUGGAAUUAAUAUGAAUUAAACAAAAUAAAGGGAUUAAAUGAAAAAUCAGAAAAUAAAAAGAAAUUCAAAAAAAUAAGGACCAUCAGAUCUCCCUCAUUAAUUGAGGUGGCAGAUGGCCACACGCCAGAGUGCACCAAACACCUGAGUCAAACGCAUAGUAACAUGAGUCAAACGGGUAGUAACAUGAGUCAAAUAAAACAAGGGCCAUGAUUAAAAUGUGGAUGUGAGAUCAGAUGGUUCAGGUCAUGUCAACACACCACCGGAGUCCUAGCUCCGGUCAUCUUCUCUGGUGGACCUCACCGGACUGGUCCACCCUCAACCAAAUGAAAAAUGAAAAGUGAGUACAUAUUUUUGAAGGAAAAAUGCUCAGGAGCAUGAAUCUGACCUCCAUUUCUUUAAAUUCCACGUAUAUUGAAAGAUACAUGGAUUUGAAAUUUGAGGUUCAUGACCUGAGUUGCUUCGAUUUGAUCUCAAAGCAACUCAAUCUUGUUGCCUACAUUGGGAGGACUUUAGCCAACCAAAAAUCAAAGAGAAUGGUGAAUAAUUGAGAGAGAAUCAAAGAGAGAAAGUUUGGCAAAUUUCACCUUCUGUUUGCAGUGAUGAAACUCGAUCUGGAUCUCAAUUUUCUCGGGCUUGCUUCCACUUGAUUGCAGGAGGUGAAUUGAGAGCUCAAAUGGCUUGGAUUCUUGGAGUUUCAACUUCAAAACAGAAGUGAAAUUGAAACUCGAUUUUCAAUUAAAAAUCUUCAAGUUUAUCCUCUAAUGGCGAUGGUAAGGUUGCAGGAGCAAAGAUUGGGCAAGGUGUCCAUAAUUCUGAGCAUGAGGCAAUUAUUUAUAGGCUUGGCAAUUGAUUUCCACACACUUCCAUUCAAAUGCCAAAAAUAGCAAUUCUCAUGUGCAUGCUUGCAUGAGCGUGUGAUAGGCCCAUGAAAUGAUGUCAAAAGGUCCAAAGAUGAUCAUGAGGGAUGCUGAAAGUGUAACAUGAAGCCAUGCAUUUGAAAUUGAGAAGUGGUCAUGAGAUUCAUCCAAAUGGAACCAUGAAGAGUAACUAUGUGCAAGUCAUUCAAACGUUGUCCAAAUGAAGUGAUUUUGGACUUUUUGGAAAGGUCGGAUUAAGGGGAACAACUUUAAUGUUGAACACUUUUCCAUUUGAAGCUUGUAUCAUGAUGAAUUUUGAGGUGGAAGUUUGGGAAGUCAAACAUAAUUGAAAUUUUUCUAAGUCCCAAGUCAAAUGUUCACUUCUUCCACCUUGAAUAACUUUUUCUAUGAGCUUCAAAUGGAAACAGUUCCUGCAUAAAAGUUGUAUAUCUUUAAAUCCUAUUCAAUUUAGUCACAAAUUUAACCUCAUUUGGAUUUGGCAUGAAGGAGUUAAACAUUUUAGAAGUUGAGGAAAAUUGCUUGUUCAAUGGUAAUGACCUAUAAUGUUUCCUCUCGGCACAUGCCCUUGCAAGUUGAAUUUGAAGUUUCCCAAAGAAUAAAAGUUGUAUAGAACAUCUCGGAAUUGAUCAUGAAACUUGGAUGGCUUUCAUCUCAUAAAAAUUGAGCAAGUUAUGGUCCUUGGAAGUUGACCUCCUAACUAGGGCACAAACAAAAUGACCUAUAAUCUUUCACCAUAAAAAAUGACUUUCCAAGAAAAAAAUAUCUCUUUACCUCAACAUUAAUGUUAUUUGGAAUGUGAUAAGGAAUAAUGUUUCUCUUGGAAUCAUUUUCAUAUGACAAAAAUUGUAGGAGAUAGGGUUUAGGGAAACCCAGUUUUGACCAGUUGACUUUCUCUGGUCAACCACCAUGAACCAUCUUGCAAACUUGAAGUUUUAUUGAUAUUUUGGACUCAUGAAGAAUCAUAUAUUCAUAAUAUGAUGUAUCCCUUGAAAUAUUUGAUCAAUUGUUGAAGAAACUUGUUGAGGAAGUUACACAAGAUACCCAGAUGAAUUAGGGCAUCCAAGGCAAACAAGCUUCAAACUCUUGAUGAUUUCAUGAUCAAAAUGAUAAAUGAAGAUCAUGGGGACCCAUAUAUGAUGUCUAGAACCAAUAUGAACCACUCCUUGAUUGAUCUCCUUGCACCGAGGGUCUCAAACCCUAAUUAUAAGCUUGAUGAGGCAUUGGUGGAUGCACAUACUACCUACAAAAGAAACAAAGCUAUACAUAGACAUAUUUUUGGUAUUUUGGUUAGCAAAUAAUGAAAAACAAAGUAUGAUACAAUCAAAUAUGCUUGGUGACCUCUCCCAAUGAAAACCCAAAUAAUGAGGGGUAAGGAGGAUGCCAAGGUGUGAUCCCAAAUUCAAUGCAUAUGAUGAGAUAGCAUGAGGGAUCUUAGGGGUCAAAUUGGGGUCUUACAAACACAUGUCAUUAUCAUCCUCUCUUUUUUUAUCAAUUAAGUCUAUGUCUUCAUCCUUAUUUCCAGAACAAUCUUUUGAGUCUUUUAAACGUGAUAAUUGUCAAUUUUAUAAACAUAACCAGACCACUUUUCCUUCUCGUCUUACUAAAAGUGAUGAACAAUUUAAUCGUAUUCAUUAUGAGGUUUAUGGACCAACCCAUAAUUGUUUCUUUUAUUAAUUAUUUUUCUUGAGUAACUUGGAUUUUUUUGAUGAAUAAUAAAUUUUAAGUACCACAAUUGUUUGUUCAACUUUAUAGUAUGAAACAAGCAUAAUUUAGGAAAGGUAUUAAAGGAACGUGUUCUGACAACGGAAUAGAAUUUGUCAAUCAUAUUUUUUUGCAUCUUUACCAGUAAACAGGGAAUCAUCCAUGAAUUCAUAUGUGUCUACACCCUACAAAAAAAUGGUGUCAUAGAAAGAAAAAAUGGUCACUUAGUUAAAAUCGCUUGAGGUAUUCUCUUCCAAAUGUAUCUUCUAAAUGUCUCUUUCAAAAUCAUAUUAGGGUGAAGCAGUUUUAACUGUUUCUUAUCUAAUUAAUCUAAUGUCAUCUCGUAUUAUAGGUAAUGAUAGUCAUGUUCGUAUUAUGAUAUAAUUUAUUCCUUCUACUUCUAUGUUGCAUGGUCACGACUCUCAAGUAUUUUAUUGUGUGACUUUUGUCCAUGUCCAUAAGCAACACCGAACUAAGUUGGAUUUGCAUAUACUUAGAUGUUUAUUUAUGGGUUAUCCUCCUAACGUAAGAGGGUACAAAUGAUAUCAUCAUCCCAAUCGUAAGUAAUUUAUUUCUAAAGAUCUCGUAUUUCACAAAAUGUAUCUUACUUCACUCCUCAUAAACCUUAAGAGAGGGGGAGGCAUGCAUUACUCAGACUCUAAGUUUGAAUUUUUUAUCCUUAGCCAGAAUUUACCUAAAACACCGCAGUCUUGUUCUGAGACUAAUUUACCAUCAAUUGUAAGUGAACUUACUCCUACUCACAAUUUUGCAUCUACAUAUAGUCAUAUUUUCAUUCGUCAACUAUCAUCUAUUUUGCAGGAAUUAACACCUUCUCCACCAAUUGUAGUGUACCGGAUAAAAGUAAAUCCGAUAUGCUCCAAAAACAACUUCAAUUGCCUAAUCUGGAGGUAAGUAUUGGAAACGAUUCUACUAUUGGUGAUUCUCAAAUUUUUUAUACUGGUAAUAUUGAUCCGAAUGAUUUACUUAUUGCUUUGAGAAAAGAUAAAAGAUUUUCCCCUCUAAGUGUGUGUGUAUGUGUGUGUGUGUGUAUAUAUAUAUAUAUAUAUACUUUCCUCCCACUGAUUUCUUUGGAAAUAAAGUCUUUUUUUUCAGGAAUACUCUAGUUCGAGCGACAAACAAUUUUCCCUCAGAAGGAUUGUAGAAGUAAUACCCUCUUGUUUAUGUAGGAUACCCCAUAAAUAAGUAUUUGUCAUAUUCGGGCUCAAGCUUAGUUGAGAAUUUUUGUUUCACAUCAACUUCGUAAUCCCAAAUCUUCAUGCAAGACAUAUAUGGUCUCUUACCACUCCAUAUCUCAUACAGUGUCUUAUCAACAUUCUUGGAUGGAACGUGGUUAAGUGUGUAAGCUCUUAUCAAUAGAGCAUGUCCCCAAAAGGAUUUUGGAAUAUCAACGUAACUCAUCAUGGAUCGAACCAUGUCUAAUAAGGUUCGGUUUCUUAUCUCAGAUACAUCAUUCCAUUGUGGUGUUUCAGGAGGAGUAAGUUGGGAUAAAAUCUCACACUCUUUUAGAUGGUCACUAAAUUCAAAGCUUAAAUAUUCACCACCUCGAUCUGAUCGAAGGGUUUUAAUAUUCUUGCCUAUUUUUUUCUACUUCAUUUUUUAAUUCCUUGAACUUUUCAAAAGAUUCAGAUUUAUGUUUCAUUAAGGACACAUAACCAUAUCUAUUGAAAUCAUCAGUAAAUGGGACAAAGUAUUGAAAACCUCCUCUGGAUAGUGUGUUCAGUGGCCCACAUACAUCAGUAUUUAUGACGGAAUAAGAUCAUUAGCCCUUUCACCUUGUCUUGUGAAUGAGGCUCUGACAUCUUUCCAAUUAAACAAGAUCUGCAUGUCUCAUAUGAUUCAUAAUCAAAAGAUUCCAAGAGUUUAUCUUUAUGGAGUUUGGAAAUGUGUUUCUCAUUUAUGUGGCCUAAGCAAAAAUGGAAAAGGUAAGUUGAAUUUAACUUGUUAGGUUUCAUCCUUUUAGCAUUAAUGUUAUAAAUAGGCAUUUCAAGAUCAAGGACAUAUAGUCCAUUGUUCAUUUGUGCAAUAGCAUAGAAUACAUCAUUCAAAUAAAUAGAACAACAAUUGUUAUUUAUUAUAAAUGAAAAACCAAAUUUGUCCAAACAAUAAACGGAAAUAACAUCCCUACUAAUUGUAGGUACAUAAUAACACUUCUCUAACUGAGUUAUUAAACCACUAGGUAAAGUCAAUACAUAAGUUCCUACAGCUAACAAAACAAACUUUUCUCCAUUGCCAAUUCUCUACUCCUUUUUAGCCCCUACACAUUCGUACAAAUGUGAGAACCACAUCUAAUAUCCAAUACCCAUGAUGAAGAAAAAUACCUGAAGUUGAAGUCUCUACUCCAUUCUUCUUAUCUUCCAGGUACUUUAGGCAGUUUCUCUUUCAGUGUCUGAUCUUACAGCAAUAGAAGCAAGUGCUCUCCUUUGUUAUACCUUUACUAGGCUUCAAAGUAUGAGCAGUAGUUUUGGGUCUGGAAACUUCCUUUCCUUUCUCUUUACCACCCUACUUGUUAGGCCUUUUGUUAUGCUUCUUUCCAUUACUCACCACCAGGAUGGCCUUCCCUUUUGACUUCAGAUUAUGCCCAGCAGCUCUCAGCAUGCCUAGUAGCUCUUGUAGACUUUUAUCCAUAUCAUUUAUAUUGAAAUUAAGGACAAAGUGAGUGAAUCUCUACGAAAACAAUUGCAGGACCAAAUCGGUUGUAAGCUCUUUUCGGAGGGGAAACCCCAAUCUUUCAAGGUAGAACCUACAUUAUUCGAUACUAGUCUUGAUGAAUGCUAAAAAUUGGAAUACAUAAACUUAAUAUUCAUUUUGAGGGAAUUUUCAAUUAGUUUGAUCUCAUCGGCUUAUUUAUCAUAUAAAUCGUGUCUCAUAUGCAUCAACAUACAUAUAAAAUGAUACAUUUAUGACCCCUAGCGCAAUUGUUCCCUCAAGCCAAUGAGAGAACCUAAGCUAAACCUAAUAAUGAUUUAUACUUCUCCAAGCUAGAUCUCCAUGUUUGUCCUCUUUUGAUAUUGUCUUCUUCUUUUCUUCAUUAUGUUACAUUACAUCAAAGAAUACUCGUUUUACAUACAAGGGAUUCAUAUGAGAAAAGAAGUUACAUAAAGAGAGUAUAAAGAAAGGCAUGACACACAUGUCGUAUUUAAAAUCCCAAAACAAAAUAAAGGAAAACUAUGUCCAUAACCGCUCACCACAAGGCAACAAUAAUAAACGCAUUUUAUUAUUAUCAUUAUUAAAUUCUGUUAAUUAAAUAAAUCAAAUUAAAUUUUGACGAUUGAUCACACUGUGGAAAGUUAGUUGGAGGUUUCACUUCCCGGUCAGUGAAUGGUGGUUCCGCUGACCGUUCAGCAUACGAGGGUCAACACUUCAUUUGGAAUCAACGUCGUUUUUGCAUCAACACUUAAUGUUUUUCACAAACCCUAAGACACAACUCUUGGACCGUCACAAACCCUAAUUGCAUAACUCUUGACAACACAACCCUUGCACCAUUAUAAACCAUAUUGCAACAUAUUCAUGACAUAAAAACACAACGAUUGAUAAUUCAAUAUGAUUGAUCAAAAUGUCAUUGCUUCACCAUACUAAUGUCGAAUUUCAAAGCAAAUGAACAUUGAUCGUUCAAAAGAAUAACAAUCAUUAUGUAAUUAAAUGGACGAAACAGGAAUAAUAUAUCAAAUAUACCAUUUUCGCACUAGAAUUACUUAUAUCACAUAUCUCACACACACACACACACACACACACACACACACACACACACACACACACACACAACACACACACACACAACACACAUCACCACACAUAUAUAUAUAUAUAUAUAUAUAUAUAUAUAUAUAUAUAUAUAUAUAUAUAUAUAUAUAUAUAUAAUAUAAUAUAAUAUAUAUAUUAUAUAUAUAUAUAUAUAUAUAUAUAUAUAUAUAUAUAUAUAAAAGUCAGAUUCUGAAGCAUAGUUAACAUCGAGUAAUCCAAAUCAUACACAACAUGAUGCCAAAAUUUAAUUACUCAAUUAUUAUUUAAUUCAGUUUAUGGUUUAAUCGAAUUAAUAUAGAAAGUACAUAAAAUAAACAGUUAUCCGAUAAAUGGUUUCGUAAGUGGCUCUGAUACCACUAAAGGGAAAUAUCGAUACAGAGCAUAGCAGAAAAAUAAAAUUUCCCUUUAUUUGAUCCUUAUUAAUGAUGCAUGAUCGGUGAUAGAAUAAUGACCUCUUUUGGUGAUUAGCACCUUUGAUGCAGAAUCAAAUGAAUGCUCACGGGUGUUGAAUAAAGAACAACACCUCUACUUAGUUCACAUGAGCAUAGUGCCUUCAAUCUUAGUGCUAGUUACUAUGGGUGAAGAAUUUGAGAGAGAGAGAGAGAGAGGGGAGGGGAUUACAGUUAGGUUUCACAAACCGAAUUUCAUCAAGUGUGUAAGCUUCUGCGCAAGGGUUCUAUUUAUAUAACCACUUGUGUGGACUGCAGGCUAAAAAACCCACUUAAAUGCAUCAUACCUUAUGGUGUACUAUAUCUCACUUAAUUGCAUGAUACCUUACCAUAUUAUGUAUUCCACUUAAGUGCAUUGUACCUUGAUGUGUUCUACAAAUCAGUUAAGUGCAUCGUACCUUACAAUGUUAUGUAAUUAUCUUAAGUACACCGUACCUUACGAUAUUCCUUAUUUCACUUAUUUGUUCUACCUCUCAUCAAUAUAUCCUUAUGUGUGUGACCUUGCAGGUUCUCGUGACGUUGGAAAUUAUAUUAAAUCACACUUUUAAUAUAAUAAAUAGUAAGCGAUAUCUAGCAACAUAUCAUUAAUGUUAUCCAAGUAACAAAAAUGUCAUGUGAUCUGACAAAAGAAAUUUGUGAUAACGCUUGUGUGUACAAUUACCUUUUUCCCUUAUGUCUAUAUCGAACACAAGGCAUAAACCGUGUCACCCUCAUCCAGUUCAAUAUUGGGUCCUUAAACAUUUAUCCUUGUUAUGCAUGAUGGGCAAAUUCCAUCAAGGUCACUCAUGCCCUUUAGCGUGAUUUUUGGAGUAUCCAUUAACUGACUUUAUGGUCAUCCAAUUGCGAACAACAUUUGAUCAACAAUAAAGUACUCGACUCCACAUCUAGGAUCCAUAGUGGUUUCAGGUCGAAUGAUGGUAUACACCAAUAUCACCAUGAGAAUAACUUAUAACACUUUGCAUAAUAUUCUAUGUAAUAUCCUCAUAGCGAGUCAAUCUAGUAUAAAUAUUACUCCUAAUAUUCAUACAUAUGUAAAAACUUGAUCACUCUCUAUUCAUGAUCCAUGAGAUGUGAUCAUCAGUAUAUCCAUUUAAUAGUUUCAAUGCUUUAAUGUUAUUCCACUUCAUAAUAAACCUCGACUACUGAUAUUUUAAGAAUAUUGUCCUUAUGUUUAAUGGGAUCUCAUAAUUAAGUCACACUUAAUGUUUCAUUAAAAAGACUAGCUAUUAUAAGGACUUUAUUAUAUUUAAAAGAAAAUAUAAUAAAUAAAUAACUUUAAAUUAUUAAUAAAUAAUUCGAUACAAGUAUCAAGUUCUAAUAAAACUAUUGGCCUCUAGGGCUUACACCAACAACUAUUUUCACCACAUCAUCUAACACUCUUCGCUAGGGGUAGGAAUAGGCUAGACCUUAAAAGGCUUGACCUGACCUACAUUAAAUGUUUAAGGCCGGAGUCUGGCCUAUGGCCUAUUAUAGGAUUUAUUUGUUGGCAUGACCCAUCCUUUUUAAAAGUGUGACCUAAUCUGAAAGCCUAUUUAAAAGUCUUUUUCACAUUAAGGCUUUCAAAUAGUAUAUUUUACCUUUUUUUUACAUAGACAGUAAGGCAUUUUAUAUACUAGCAUAUUUUCUAAUAGAUAUGCAUAUAUAGGUCGACCUAUAAGGCUUCAUGUUCUUUUAUAAUAGCAUAAGCCUAGCCUAUUUAAUUAAAUAAGCUUUAAAAAAGGCUAGGUGUGGCCUUUUUGUUAAAUAGGUCAAGCCAAGUCAGAUCUUAAAUAGGUCAGGCUAUAGGCCCCUGCAGAUUGGCCUGACCUAUUUUCAUCACUAUUAUUCGUUAAUUUAUCAUGUCUAAACUGAGUUUCGAAUUUGCUAUGAAAGAUUUGGGUUCUCUAAGCUACUUCCUAGGUAUCUCAGUUACAAGACAUUCAGGUGGUAUGUUUCUUUCUCAACAUAAAUAUGUCAAAAAGGUCAUUGAGAGAGUUGUCAUAUCCUCUUGCAAAUCGAUUUCUACUCUAGUAAAUACAACAACGAAACUUAGUGGAACCUCAGGCAACCCAUAUCAUGAUCCCUCUUAAUAUAGAAGUAUUGUUGGAGCCAUGCAUAACUUACUUACAAGACCUUCUAUCUCUUAUGUCGUUCAACAAGUAUGCCUUUUAUACACGAUCCAUGAAUGCAACACUUGACCGCCUUAAAGCGAAUCAUUAGAUAAAUUAAAGGCAUAAUCACUCACAUGUUACAUCUCCCUCCCUCCUUGAUUGACAAACCACCACAUAUAUUGAUGUUGACUAGGGAGAAUGUCCGACCACCUAUAGAUCCACGUCAUAUUAUUUGUUUAUCUUGGAGAUAAUUUUGUUUCAUGGUCUGCUAAAUGACAAUCAACUCUUUCUCGUUCUAGUGCAGAAGUAAAGUAUCGUGGUGUUGCUAACGUUGUUUAUGAAUCUUGUUGACUUCGAAAUUUACUCUUAUAACUUCAGUGUCCUGACAUAAAAGUCGCUCUAGUAUAUUGCGACAGUGUUAGUGUUGUCUACUUAUCAAAAAAUCUCAUUCAACACUAAUGAACAAAAUACAUUAAAAUGUAUAUUCAUUUUGUGUGUGAAAAGGUUGCUCGUGGCCAAGUUCGCAUUCCACAAGUUUCGUCACGCUAUCAAAUAUGAAAUAUUUAUAAGCUUUAUAAUACUUUAACAUAAAUUAAAUAUAUUUUAUGUAAAUUGAAUAGUAUUUAAUAAUAUUUUAAUAUAAAUUAAAUAGGUUAUACGUAAUUUUGUAGAAUCUGAUUCAACACUUUAAUUAGUUUUAUCAAUUUUAUCAAGUCAAAAUACAUAUUUAACUACUAUGCUUUUCCCCUCCUUAGCAUUAAAAACAAAUAAAAAAAUAAACUAGUACUACGCGGUUUGUCUGCCACAUCUCUUUAAAGUAGCAGACAGGAUAAACAUGUUCUCAUUCCAUUUUCUCAAUGGUCAAAUAAAAAAAUAUUUCAAAGAACCCCAAUCACACACUCCACAUACUUUUCAACACCUAAUUAUUAUUAUAAUUACACAACAACAUUGGUGUUGAAUUUGCAGUUAUGUCCUCGGGUGACAGUGACACCUAGCUCUCACACGUUGAAAAAUACUUGUUUUCACACGUGUGUAUAUUUCAUUUUCUUCUCUUCCAAAGCCUUGCUUAUGAAACUUCUCUCUAUCAACAAUUUCUAGUUGAUCUUCUCCUUCCCCAAGGGUCCAACAGUUCUAUGUUGAUGGGUUGUUGCUUUAGUGCAAAGGUCAAAGCUGUGAGUCCUACACAUAAUGGUAUCAUUCUUAUUCUAUUUUUCACUUUUAUUUUUUUAACUUUCUUACUUGAUCAACUUCUAUCUGAACUCUAUUUGGUAGAAGAUCGUUGGAUUUGAAAUCUGAUUCUUCUGAGGGAUUCAAUAUGUGUAUUUCUAUGAAUAAAGUUUGCACUUCUUAGAUCUAAUUGUAUUACAUAGUUGCAAUAAUGUUAUAGAAAGAUUAUCAAUGUAAAAGAGAACUAUACAACUUAAAUUAUAGGAAUAAUCUUAUUGGUUGAAAAUUGUCUCAGGAGCACCAACACUACUGAAAAAAGAUGUGUCUGUGUCGGUGUGAGUCAGUGUCUUGUGUCUGUCAUAGAAAAUUGUUGCUAUACAAAGGCCUAAGAAGUUAAUUGAUGUUUUUGUUGUGAGAUAAACAGGUUUGAAUUCAAAGGUUGUUGGGAAAGAAGAGGAUGUUUUGAGUGGUUUAAGCAGGAGGGUCUCUUCUUCUGCACACGUGCUUCUAACUUCUAGAACUGAGGGUGAGAUACUGCAAUGCAUCAAUUUGAAGUGUUUCACAAUCAAUGAGGUAAGAACAGCGACAAGGAACUUUCGGCCGGAUAGUAUGGUGGGUGAAGGUGGAUUUGGUUGUGUAUUUAAGGGUUGGAUCGACGAACAUACGCUAGCUCCGACUAAACCAGGUACUGGUUUUGUCAUUGCUGUGAAGAGGCUUAACCAAGAAAGCAGUCAGGGACAUAGUGAAUGGUUGGUGAGUGUCAUUUUAGGCUCAAUAGAAAAUCAUUGCAUUUGCAUUUUCUGUAUCUAUUUUUCUUUUGAUUCGGUGUCGUUGUUCUAAUAUCAACCUUGUAUAUUAUAGACAGAAAUCAAUUAUCUGGGACAGCUGCGUCAUCCUAAUCUUGUGAAACUAAUUGGUUACUGCUUAGAGGAUGAUUACCGGAUUUUGGUAUAUGAAUUUGUAACCAAGGGAAGUUUGGAUAACCAUUUGUUUAGAAGUAUGUUGUUAAUUUUCCUCCAUCUGUUAUUGUCUCGUUUUUUCGAUAAGUUGAUUUCAUUUACUAGUUAGUAUAUUAAACUCCUCAAAGUUUCAUCUCUACCUAAUGUUUAUGGACCAGGGGCUUCUUACUUUCAGCCACUCUCUUGGAAAAUCCGAAUGAAGAUAGCUCUUGAUGCUGCUAAAGGUCUUGCGUUUCUUCAUAGCGAUGAAGUCGAUGUGAUAUAUCGAGACUUCAAAACUUCGAAUAUCUUGAUUGAUUCUGUAAGUGGCUUAUUACAUUGAUCUUGCUAGCAGAGAUAAGAGAUUACAAAUAAGACUUGUUUUGUAAAAUUCCUUUUUUGUUGAUAACAGAACUAUAAUGCAAAACUCUCCGAUUUUGGGAUGGCAAAAGAUGGACCAGAAGGCGGUAAGAGCCACGUAUCUACAAGGAUAAUGGGCACCCCAGGUUAUGCGGCUCCCGAGUAUCUAGCCACAGGUAUCUCAGUCUUUUUCGAUGAUGUAUCCAAACAAAAUCAUUUCACAUUCAACUCACUUUUUACUAAAGUCGUCUGUUCCUCCAAAAUCAAUUUUAUUCGGCCUACAAUUUCACUCCUAACCUUUUUCUGUUUUUUUUUGUUCUUGUGAAGGUCACCUAACCAAAAAGAGUGACGUAUACAGUUUCGGAGUUGUUCUCUUGGAAAUUAUGUCGGGCAAACGCACAUUAGAUACAAACCGGCCCUCUGGGGAGCAUAACUUAGUGGAGUGGGCCAAACCAUUACUCGUGAGCAAACGCAAGAUCUCCCAAGUCAUGGAUGCUCGUAUAGAAGGCCAGUACUCGUUGCGUGAAGCAGUGAAAGUUGCUCACAUUGCCAUUCUAUGCUUGUCGGCAGAACAAAAAUAUAGACCAAACAUUGACGAGGUGGUGAGAUCGUUGGAACAACUUCAGGAUUCUAAUGACAAAACAGAUGGCCAUAGUAGUAGUGGUUUAAAACACGGAAAAAGAGUCGAUGAAUCUUUAAGCAGAGAAGGUACUUCUAAUCCAAGUUCAUCAGCUUCUCCUCUUAAUAAGUAAAAGAGUAAAUUUUUUUAAUAUUACAUAUAUCUCAGACAGUAUACAUUAUUUUAAAGGAUAUAUACAGAGAUAGUGUUUCUUAUAUUCAUGAGCCAAAUUAUUCAAUGACAUCACAUGCCUAGUUACUGACCUGUUGUACAGAUUUUCAUAUCAAAAUGUUAGUAACAGAAGUGUUUCUUUUCCCAUUACAACAUUUUUUUCUCAUAUGUAAGUGAGUACAUGAGAUAAGUGAGUUAAAUGUAAAAGAAGUUAUAACUGUAACAAUGAUAAGUGCUUAUUUGGAUCAGCUGUAGAUCACUCAUUUGAGUGCUUCUCAAUGCAUAUGUGCUCUGAUUUUGUUUAACUUUUAAAAUGUUAUCUUUUAUAAUAGCAUGAUUUUGUACAUGGCUUUGUCUUGUCAAUCGAAACAUGUCAAAUUCAUUGUUAAUCCAAACUUAUACAAUAAAUGCAAUAUCAUAAUUUUCCAUGCAACUUGUAGAAAUAUGUGCUCUCCCUCGGAAGGAAAAAUGAAUUAAAUAAGGUUUAUAUAUUUUAUAUAAAUUUUAGACUAAAUAUAAUACUGCUUAUGUUUGCUUUGUUAUCUAUAGUCUGUCCCAAAUCCGGAUAAAGCGAGAGGAUUGUAUUAGAGAAUCGACAACCAAUGUAAAACUUUAUCGAAUUUCUAUGAUAUGGAUCAACAGCGAAAUAAUGUGAAUGCUUGUUUUUCUUCUACGAUUUGUAUUAAUAGAUGUUACAACAGAUGUUGUUUGGACGGUGCUUGUCGAAUCGGCCAUGACUAUUUAUUGAAAAAUAGGUAGAAACAAAAUGAUAUAAACUCAUUUUGGUGAUAUAUAACUCGUUUGAGUGAAGAACAAACCUGUUGAAAAAUGAUAUAUGUUGACGAAGGGACUAUCUAAAUAAACAUCAAAAUGAUCAAGAGAAAGUAUACUAAUUAACGUUUCAAUAAAAAACAAAUGGAAAAUCGUAGAAAUAAAACGAUCAAAAGACAAACUAACUUACAACUCUAGAAAAUAUGAUCAAUGAAAAAUAAAGUGAUAUAUAACUCGUUUCAAUGAAGAACAAACUUGUUGCGAAAAUGGCGUUUGAUUAAUAUCUGCUGGAAGAGUUUUGAUGAAUAUCAGCUUGAAAAUUGCCUAGGAUUUUUUGUGAAAUGAGAGUGACGAAAUGACGCUUGAGCGUUGAUAGGUAAAUAAAAAGUUAGAAACUAACUAGAUUGUAGUCUGAAGUAUUUCAUGCAAUAUAUGUGUCACGUCGGUUUUAUAUAAAAUCCGACAUGACAGUAUUCAUUAAAAAUAUAAAAUAUAAAACACAUAAUAGGGUUAUAUUCUGGAAAUUCAAUUAAAAGAUAUAUAACGUCGGUUUCUUUGUAUAACCGAGGGGUUUGAACCUAUCAAAUAAAAAAUUAAAAUAAGUUUUUGAAAAUAGUAUUUUGAAAUUGAUUAAUGCAAAAUAUAUUACUUCUCAGUUGGACCAUGUAGCCGAGGUAAAUACUAAUAAAAGAAAUAACAAUGAUAAAAAUGAAACUUGGAAAGACGUCAGUACUAACUAAACAACUAGGAAAAAUACAUAAAAUGCAAAGAUUGUUGUCGCUGCGGGAAAAAUUUGAGAUUAAACUAUUGAUUAACUUAACUAAAAAAAGUAAGAGUCACCACCGAACUUUAUUGUUUCCAAAGGGAAUGGGAAAAAGGUCGAAUCAAACCCACACAUCUGGAUAUGGGGGUUGGUUAUGCAAGAGGAAGGUAUUAGAACCCCUCACAUCUAUGGUACUCCAUAGGAACCACUUGCAAAUUUGUGUUUAUGAAAAAGCUAGGUUGUUUGUUGAUUGAUUUUAAUUUGAAAAUACAUUUAUGUCAUAUUCGAGUGGAAAACUCAACUUACUAUCCACAAGUAUAAGGAAAUGAGCAUUUGCAUCAUCUUGAUAUGAAAAACUUUUACUUGGACUUUCUCACAAGCAUGUUUCAACAUUCAAGUGGAAAAUAUCAAUAAUUUCUUAACAUAUUGUAGAAGUAUAGUGGUUUGCAUUUCUACAAUAAUAUACCAAUAUCCAAUUUUUUUUUUAAAAAGCUCUUAAAGGAAAAUGUACAAAGGCACAAAAAGAAGUUUGAUGAGGUUUGUCUUUUUUAGAAGUUUUAAAAAAAAAGAGUUUAAGUAUGCUUAAAUGUUUUAGCAUUUUUUGAGAAAAAGAUUUUCUGGAUCACUUGACAAAGUCAAGGUUUAUUAAUAAAAGGUGUGAAGUUUGAAAACAAGAGGUUUUUGAAAUAGGGAGAAGUUUUAAAAAUUGAAGAAGUAGGAAGGAGAAGAAGAGAUUAUCCUAAAGCAUAAAGUAAAUGACAUGAAAUAAAAAAUCUCAUUGUAAGGUAGCUCAAGAGAAAUUCUUUGUGUGUGCAAGUGUACUAACCACAAGAUAGAGAAAUAUUUGACAUUGGUCAAAACACGCAUUUCUUUCCCUUUGGAUUGAGCCAUAAGAUAUAAAAAAACACAUAAGCAGAUGAAUACCUUAGGGUCCAGAUGAACAACAAGGCCACAAACCC